AUACUUAAGUCUCAAAACUAGCAAUUUAGUUUCUUUUUCUUUGUUUUUUUUCAAUUUUUUUUUUUAAGUAUUCCCAUGGUGCCCUGAAUAAUGAUUUUGGUAUUCCAUAUUUAUUAGAACAAAUGCAAAUUUCAUUGAACCUACCUAACGUACUUGGCUAAUCUUUUUGCAUGCUUUACUUUGAAAUGUGAUUCACAGAUGCUUCUGUUCUGAGCUUAUGGUUGUAGUCUCCAUUUUUAACUUUGCAGAGAUGUCUUUUGAGCUUGUGUCAGUAUUGGUAGAUAUGAUUUUCAAAACAUUUUGUAUUUAUGAUGAUCGAGGAAGGAAAGCUGUUGAUGAUGUGAUCACAAAAGCUUUGGGCGAAGUUACAUUUAUGAAGAGUUUUGCGGCAACCGUUGUACAGGUCAUGGAAAAGCAAAUAAAAUUGCAGUCUCAUGUAGCCUGCUACAGACUUCUCAAGUGGUCGUGUCUUCUACUAAGCAAGAGUCAAUUUGCUUAAGUAUCAAAGAAUGCAUUUUACAGAGUGGCUGCAGUGCAGGCAUCACUUCUUCAUAUUGUUAUUCAAGGAUCUUUUCGUGAGAGAAGGGCUUGCAAACGAACAUUUUUUCGUUUGUUCUCAGAGUCAUCAUAAAUCUACAAAACCUACAUUGCAGAACUAAAGGAUGUGAGGAUCCCAUACAAAGAUAGCCCGGAACUGUUGGGGCUUUUGCUGGAAUUUUCAAGUUCAAGUCCUUCUUUAUUUGAUCAAUGGAAGUGAUUGCCUUGUUGCUUAGAUGUUCUUCAUCUUUAAUUCUGCUGGUCUGUUUCUGUUGCUGCUGCUGCUGCUGCCGGUGCGCUACUGCAAAAUUUUGCUGGGCUGCUGCUGCUGCAAUUGCAAUGUUGCUGUGAAGCGGGCUACUACUAGAUGCUGGUUUGCUGCAAAUUUGGGUUGUUGUUAGUUUCAUGAUUUCAUUUUGUUAUCUGCUAUUUUUACCAUGUGUUCACAAUUUGGAUGUAUUUGAGUAUUUUAGUGAGUUUAUCCUUUUAGGUUUUAUACAACGCUUCCAAAAGCAUAUUUUUUAGCAGCGUUUUUUUGCCUACACAUUAACUUUAGGUGAUUUAAUAUUAAUGUUAUUAGUUUGUAAUAGUAGUGCCUGAGGGAUGCCUCUUGUAAAUAUGUAAAUCAUAUAAAAAUAUAUAUAUAUAUGAUUUUCAAUUUUUUUUG